AAGAGAAAAGUAUUAGCGGUAUUGAUGACACUAACAACAACGCACCAGGCAACCUUACUUUCCCAGCAUCCGUGGGUGCCACUGAGGUCGGUGACCAUCACUCUGAAAAACAACAGUGCACUUUGGAGAAUACUUUAAAAACGGCUCUGGAUGCUGCCACGCAUAUAGAUAAAAUGGGAUUUGAAGAAGAAGCGAAAAAUUUGGAACUCUUUUUUUUAAAUGAUUUGUCCUUAAAAAACGUCAUCUCGCUAUGCUUAAUAGACCCACAGUUUCCUUUACUAGUCAAGCUUUGUAAGGCGUAUAUACACGGGAUAACUAGUAAUUCAGCAAAAAGUAGCA